rnacentral:rRNA from 1 species
UACGUAGGUGGCAAGCGUUGUCCGGAUUUACUGGGCGUAAAGAGCGCGCAGGCGGUCGUUCAAGUCGCGUGUGAAAGCCCCCGGCUCAACUGGGGAGGGUCACGCGAUACUGAUCGACUCGAAGGCAGGAGAGGGAAGUGGAAUUCCCGGUGUAGUGGUGAAAUGCGUAGAUAUCGGGAGGAACACCGGUGGCGAAGGCGGGUCUCUGGACAGUUCCUGACACUGAGGCACGAAGGCCAGGGGAGCAAACGGG